AGUUUCACUGUGUUUUGUUUGUUCAACAUCAGCUAUGUGUUGGUUAGAUUACUGUAAAACCACAACAAACUAUCAGAAAAAGGUAUAUGAAGAUAAGAGAGUAAAACGAUUGUAAAAAGGUAAAUAACACUGGUAGAACUGUUGUAGUGCCUGUAUACAUUUAGCCGUUAUUCUUUAUAGAAUAGAAGCUGAAUGUGUAAUGUGUGUAAUUCUAAUGCAAACCCUAACCCAGAAAUAAUUAAAUAGCUGCAGUCCAGAGAAUUAUUAUCAGAAAUACUGAAUGCCCAAAGAAUGUAAUGUAUUUAUUUAACAGAUUUUAUGGUAUUAUGAUUUGAUCAGUGUACACAAAAUCUUCAUGUUAUUAAUGUCCUUCUUUAAGAACAUCAGACCAAAAAUAGAUGGCAGCAGGUCAAAUAGAAAAGGUAAAAUAAAAUGCUGAGUAACAUCAUUUUGGUGCAAAUGAUGUAUAAAAUUUGUCUUACAUAUUUUAAUAUAUGUACUUGUGCCCGUGAAUCUUUGUCUAAGUAUUAGCUUCUCCUCUUUGACUAUUUCAUCCAAAAAAUGUCCACUGUCAAAAGAAUUUAGUGAAUAAUCUUUUACAGUAGAUUGUCUAUGCACUGGACUCCCUUAUGCCUCGCUAUGACCCUGAUUGAAUUACUAAUAAAGUCAACUAUUGUGAUAGAAAUUAUUUUGUUUGCAGCCGCAAUAGACAAUUAUCAAAAACAGCAGACAAAAUAGGGAAAUACUGAUGAUAGUAUUAACUGUGCAAAGAUAAACUAGGAAUGACCUGUGGUAGUGCUCCUUCCUGCAACGGGUGUGUAAGAGUCUUGUGCUAAAGGAUCUGCUCAGGGCCUCUAGAGUGUGGUGCAUGGGGUGGGGGGUUAUCCAUGAUGUUAAUUUGACCAACAUCCUUCUGUCUGCCACAUCCUCAAUGCACUCCAGUGUGCAGCCCAGGACAGAACUAGCUUUUUUUGACCAGCUAGUUAAAGGAAAACUUCACAGAUUUUCAAUGGGGUCUCGUUUUUUUCUCGGUAGUAUUUAAGAAUUAAGGGACACUCAGAUUGUUCCAUAAUUUCUAUGCAAAAAAGUUAUAAUUUUUUCCUCCACUAAGACACAUUGGCAGGAUGCUUGCUUUUUGAUUGAUUGCUGGUUUUUCCUAUACCUGCCCCUUCAACAGUCCAGCUGAGAGAGGGGCGGACCCAGCCUGCUGGAGCAAAACUGCUCUGUCCGCCAAUGUUUUUCCUUGCAUACAAGUACAGCACUAAUAUUCCAUGGCCCAGUGUUUUUCUGUAGAUUAUUUAGAAAACAGCGAGUUCUACAGCACAGUCUGAUAUUCAUGGUUACUUGUAUGAGCCAGAGUACAGCGCCGACGAGUUGAACCAUAUGGAGGAGGACUAGGCUGCCCGCAACGAAAAGCCGGGAACCGGCAGAGCCAAACACUGGCAUCCAGCAGCCGCUACGAGCCAGCAGCUGAGAGAAAGCCUGCAUCAUGCAAUGAUUCUACCUCUGCCAGAUGAUGUUGCAGAUUCUAACAGACAAACAUGGCUGGCAAAACAAGACAAAUCCCUUUCAAGAGUUUUCUGUGACCAUACACAGCUCACCGAUAUUACCUACAAGUGGAUGAAAUUAAUUAUUUUAUUAGUAUGAGCAUGCUUGAGCAAGAGAAUGGGUAAGUGUGACAGAGGGGUGAGGAUGGUUUUUGCUGCGCUGCGUGUGGUUCCUGGGCAGUAGUACUGCAGUCCCUGGGUCUCGUCUAUCUCUUCCUGGCUGGGGGUUGUGGUGGGCGGUGGGAUAGGUAGAAGAGCUAGUCUGGAGCCUGGCUCUGCGAACCCCGGUGCCUUGCUUCCCAACUACAUCUCUCCACACUCAUCCACUUAUGUCUGUAAGGUGCAUCCUAAGGGUUUUUUGGUCCGGGGCUACUGGAAAGUGGUUCUGUCCCUCCUAGGUGGGAUGAUCUGCGGGUUUUAAUUGCAUUAAUCAUACAUACUCAUCCAGGACUUUGGAGGCUGCCUCUGGGGGGGGGGCAGUGGACACAGCCUUCACUUUGAUGGCUCUGUUUGCUGGACCCCUCAGGGAACUGGCGGUCUCCCAAAGUUACAUACCACACCACAUACAUUCAGGGCCAGGGGGUUGGCUCUUUCACUGGGGCUUGGUGGUGAGGCCAGCUGUGGCCUCGCCCACUGGCCCUGGUGGAGAGAUCGGCCAGCAGGCCAGAGACCUAACCCCCCCCCCCCCCCCCCCCUUUUUACUACUGCUGGCCCCCACGGAUUGCCGGCCUUGUGUUGUGGGCCCAAUGUGGUGCCAGGGGAUAUGGUCGGGCCAAUAGGGCAGGCCCCACUCCACUCAUGUGGGGGUGGUGGACUAGGUGUGAGCUCACUCGGGGCACAUCUCCUGGCAGGCUCCCUACAGACCGUGGGUUCUCGGGCUCCACCCUCUCAGGCCGACGCUCCCACUGGGGGGAUUGUUUGCCCCUGGUUCUCAUGGGGCGGUCAGAGUGGGCCACCGUGGGUCAACGACCUCAUCCCCUGGCACCACACCGGCCUGCAGCACAAGGCCAGCAAUUGGUGGGGGUCAGCAGAAGGGCAGCGGAAAGGUCACCCCAGAACCCUGCAACCCAGCUUGGACGUGAGUGUGUGGAACUAAAGUGCACUGAAGGUGGGUGACACCUCCAGGAGCACGACCGCUGGCUGACGGAGUGUCCCCCGGACAGUGCCCCCCCUCACCCUAAAUGUCUAUUUGCAGUUAAAACUGGGUGGUGAUCUCUCCACCAGUGAAAGAGCCCACCCCCGGCCCUAAUAGUAUGUGUAUGUGGCUAAGUAUGAGGAACUUUGGGAGAUUGCCAAUUCUCCGAGGGGUCCAGCAGACAGAGCCAUCAAUGGGAAGGCUCUGUCCACUGGCCCCCCCGGAAGGAGCCCCCAGAUUCCUGGACGAGUGUGUAUGCCUAAUGCAAUUAAAACUGCAGAGCAUCCCACUUGGGAGGGACGGAACCACUUCCCGGUAGCCCCGGUCCCUCCAUCAGCAGGACGCCCCUUGCAGACCUAAGUGGGUGAAUGUGGAGAAAUAUAGUUGGGAAGCAGAGCACCAGGGUCCGCAGAGCCAGGUUCCCGACUGGCUCUGCUACCCAUCCCACCGCCCCCACAACCCCCAGCCAGGAAGAGACAGCCCAGACCCAGGGACUGCAGUACUACUGCCAAGGCGCCACACGCAGCACAGCCAGAGCCAUCCAGAAGCGCUACCUUUAAUCAGCUCGUCCAUAUUAAAUCAAAUGAACCAAUCUUUACAUUUCGGCUAUAUACCACAGGCUUUUAAGGUAGCUGUGGUCAAACCUUUAUUGAAAAAAUCUACUCUAGACCCUGGAGAACUAGCCAACUAUAGGCCUAUUUCAAAUUUACCCUUUAUUUCUAAGAUUCUUGAAAAAGUCUUGGCUAAAAAAUUAUCUGACCACCUGAGUGGGAAUAACCUGUACAAAGAUUUUCAGUCAGGAUUUAGGAAACAUUAUAGCACAGAAAUGGCUCUGGUUAGACAGAUUCCAGUUUGUUCAUGUUUAUGACAAUUUCUCCACAUGCACAAGGAUUAGAUAUGGAGUACCACAGGGUUCUGUGCUUGGUCCAAUUGUAUACAUGUCUCCUCUAGGUGAUAUUAUUAGGAAGCAUUCUAUAAAUUUAUGCAGGUGAUACUAUAUAUAUAUGCCUUUACAUAUUUUGCAUAUACCAAAGGAAACAGAUCAAUUAGUCAAAAUUCAAAGUCGUUUAAAAGACAUCAAAUCCUGGAUGUCCCAAAACUUCUUUUAACCCUAAUUCAGAUAAAACAGAAAUUCUUAUCAUUGGGCCUAAAAAUCAGAGAGAGACACUACUUCACCCUGGAUGGGAUAACAUUAGCUUCAGAUUCUACUGUGAUGAACCUUGGUGUCAUCUUUGACCAGAAUCUCUCUUUUACAUCAUACCUUUAAACAAAUCUCCAGAACCGCCUACUUUCAUCUUAAAAAUAUAGCUAAAAUCAGAAGCAUCCUCUCUCCGGCGAUGCAGAGAAACUGAUCCAUGCAUUUGUUACCUCUAGUCUGUUCUACUGUAACUCCUUACUUGUAGGAUGUCCUAACAGCUCCUUAAAAAGCCUCCAGCAAAUUCAAAAUGCUGCAGCCUACGUUAGCUUCUCUGCACUGGCUGUCUGUAAAAUGUAGGAUAGAAUUUAAAACUCUCCUACUUACCUACAAAGCACUUAAUGACAAAGUUCCUUCUUAUCUUAAAUACCUCAUAGUUUCUUAUGUUCACAGCAGAACACUACGUUCUCUGAGUUCUGAGCUACUUGUGGUUCUUAGUCUUUAAAUGUAGAAUGGAAGCCAGAGCUUUGGGCUACCAAGCUUCUCUCCUGUGGAACCAGCAGCUUUAAGAUCAGGCUUAAGUUCUUACUUUUUGAUAAAGCUUAUAGUUAGAGAUGGUUCAGGUAACUGGCAAUGAAUGUUAGUCACAGGAACCAUGUCUUUGUCAAGCUGCAAUAAACAUAGACUACCUGGGGACUUUAUUUAUACACUGAGCUCCUUUGUUUCCUUCUACCUCUUCUGUCUAAUAACCUCCCAUCAUUGUUCCAUGUUUAACUAACCUUGUUUCUUUCUCUCCAGUAGUUGUGCUUCUCCCCCGCUCUCCUCUCCCCCCACACUGUCUCGUUACAGAGAGAGUUUUUCCUCUCCACUGUUGCUGUCAAAUUAAAGGCUUGCUGAAUGUGGGAUCUGUCGGGUUUAGUUGUGUAAGGUCUUAAACCUUACUACAAGUGCCCUGAGAUAACCAUGUUGUGAUUUGGCGCUAUAUAAAUAAAAUUGAAUUGAAUAUAAAAACAAAAUUAGAGUAACGGCAAGAAAAGAGAUAACAACUCUGGGGAAGGAUUGUUUGCACUCUGCCACCACACACACACACACACACACACAAAUGCUCAUACAAGCGUGUGUGUCUGACACAGACACCUGCCAAUGACAAUCUUCAUCAGAGGAAAAUAAAAAAAAGAGAAACAGCAGAGUGAGCUACAUCUGCUGUCCUUGGAGACAUGCUCUGCCACAGACACUGGUUAAAACAACAACAGGAGAGGCUUCAGAUGUGAUUGGCCCAAUAGAGCUGUAUGCGAGGAUCCAGGAAACGUCUGGAAUGGCUGUGGUCAGGAGGGGCAUUGGAAGAACAACUGUCCCUUCGUACGUCAGGUUCCACCCACUCAGGCGCUCUCGUUAGACUGAUGGCUGGGGAAGGAGGACGGCUCCUUUUCACGUGAUGUAGCGCACACACCCACAUUUUCACACACGCAAUUAAGAACCUUGUCUCUUUCUCUCCAGUAGUUGUGCUUUAUCCCCGCUCUCUCUCUCGCCCCCACUCUAUCCUCACCUACAGAUAUCAUCGGACUCUGAGCUACGUGUCUGUUGUGGGCAGCAGCGGGUCAACAUUCCUGCCUGUGUCUAGUCCUUGGUGCAACCAUCCUGCCUGUGUCCAGUCCCUGGUGCAACCCUCCUGCCUGUGUCCAGUCCCUGGUGCAACCAUCCUGCCUGUGUCCAGUCCCUGGUGCAACCAUCCUGCCUGUGUCCAGUCCCUGGUGCAACCAUCCUGUCUGUGCCCAGUGUCUGGUCCAACCAUCCUGCCUGCGGCAGAUGGCCGCCGAAAUCUAGCUUGGUUCUGGUGGAGGUUUCUUCCUCGCUAGAAAGGGAGUUUUUCCUCUCCACUGUUGCUAUCAAAUUGUAAUUAAAGGUUUGCUGUAUGUGGGAUCUGUUGAAUUUAGUUGUGUAAAGUCUCAAACUUUACCUUAAGUGCCUUGAGAUAACCUUUUUGUGAUGUGACACUGUAUAAAUAAAAUUUUAUUGAAUUGUAUUGAACAAUUCUUUUUUCAGAGUUUUUUUUCAAUGACAAAACAGUCAAAUGACAUUGUGGGUAUAAAAUGGCUAAUUGGCUCUAUUUUGGACCUUUUUUUUUCGGGUGAACUCAUUUUUGUGGCCAGAGGUUUAGACAUUAGACAUUUAGACAUGGCUGUCAGUGGGAGUCAAACUUACACAGUGCAUAAACCACUACUUCUACUUUGGAGAUAUGGAAACAGCUUUGUUAUGCCUUGUUGUUGGAACCCGGCAC